CCUACGGGAGGCAGCAGUGAGGAAUAUUGGUCAAUGGACGAGAGUCUGAACCAGCCAAGUAGCGUGAAGGAUGACUGCCCUAUGGGUUGUAAACUUCUUUUAUAAAGGAAUAAAACGAGGCACGUGUGCCUUUUUGCAUGUACUUUAUGAAUAAGGAUCGGCUAACUCCGUGCCAGCAGCCGCGGUAAUACGGAGGAUGCGAGCGUUAUCCGGAUUUAUUGGGUUUAAAGGGUGCGUAGGUUGUUUUUUAAGUCAGCGGUGAAAGUUUGUGGCUCAACCAUAAAAUUGCCGUUGAAACUGGAAGACUUGAGUGUGUUUGAGGUAGGCGGAAUGCGUGGUGUAGCGGUGAAAUGCAUAGAUAUCACGCAGAACCCCGAUUGCGAAGGCAGCAUACCGGUGCACAACUGACGCUCAGGCACGAAAGCGUGGGUAUCGAACAGGAUUAGAUACCCUGGUAGUC
rnacentral:rRNA from 1 species